rnacentral:lncRNA from 1 species
GGGAGGCUGAGGCAGGAGAAUCACUUGAACCUGGGAGAUAGAGAUUGCAGUGAGCCGAGAUCACACCACUGCACUCUAGCCUGGGCAACAGAGUGAGACUGUCUCAAAAAAAAAAAAAAAAAAAAAAGAAGAAGAAGAAGAAAAAGAAGAAAUGCCACUGAGGCAGGGAGAAGGCCAUGGCUUCAGCAGGAAGCUGGGGGCACCACAAGAUGGGAGAGGAAAUGAAGACCUUCAUAAAACAACAAGAAGGAAGAUGCUGUCCUCCUUCCCGCAGUCUCAGCUGUCCCAGCCCCAUCCCGAGGAGCAUCCACCGCGGAUCCUGUGGGCUCCACAACAGCAGGACGGCAUAUUUCUUGUCAGCAAGUCUGAUGGGUCCCCCAGUUCCCCGCUGCUGUGGAGAGAGAGGAGGCCCACAGAGGCGGCCUGACCGCGGUACUGUGCUGGCACUCCAGACGCCCUGUUCCCACCCGUCAUCCUGCAGGCCUCUCCUCUCUUCUGCUGCCCCCACAGUCCAGGCUGCCUGCUUCUCCUGCUGUGGAUGCCACUGCCCCCACCCUAGCUUCCCCUUGUUUCUUCCUGAUUACUGUUUCUUGCUUUUACCACCACUGGAGAAUGAGGUCAUGGGAGCAGUGGGGGACGGCAGUGCUCAGGUGGUGAAUGGACUGGGGACCCUGGAGACUGAGGUGAAUUUCCCACGCCCCCUCUGAGGGCUGCUCAGAGAGUACUUAUCUUGGAAUCCAUCUCCCCGCAACACACACCCACUGACUCCCAUGGGGAGAGGCGGUGGAGAGGACUUUAGCCUUGGUCUUCCUUUCCUACCAGGAGGAUGACAGCUCUAGCCCUGCAGCUCCUUCCUUCGCCCGACUCCUGCACUGGAGCCGGAUGGUUUAGAAUGAGAUCCAGGCCUCCUCCCACGUCUC